AGCGGCUGGGCAUUGCCGGCUGUGCCCCCUCCCGCUGAAGGCCCGGCGUUUCGUUGGUCUCUCUGAAGCUACAAGCGUUGGACGCUGGAAGAGGUUUCUCCAUCUGAUGGGUCCAGCAGAAAGGAAAUUAACAUGA
rnacentral:lncRNA from 1 species